UUCACAUUGUAUUUCAAUUUUUAAAAUCCAUCACAUAGAUUAUCCCGAUCAAGAUUUUACUAAAUUGAAACACACUGAUACAUUAACUCCUACUUAUUCGGAGGGAUCAAUUUCAUCUUGACUCACAUACUGACUUUACAAGUACUUGACUAUAUCCAAAAAUUUUUCAUCAUUGAAUUAAAAAUUCAAAUAGUCCAGCAUUAAAGCAUAGUGAGUUACUUGCAAGUCACCAUGGUGAUCUC
rnacentral:lncRNA from 1 species